rnacentral:ncRNA from 1 species
UGUCUUCAGGGCAGGGUGAAAUUCCCGACCGGCGGUAAAGUCCGCGACCUGCGAAAGCAGCUGACCCGGUGAAACUCCGGGACCGACAGUAAAGUCUGGAUGGAAGAAGACG